UAUCUAGUAUCUGAAAUGCUUGGGACAAAAAGUGUUUUGGAUUUUGAAAUUGGAAGGAUUUAUAAAUAUUUGCACUAUCUAUACCAGUUCAGCAUUUCCAAUCCAGAGAUCGGAAACACUUCAAUCAGCAUUUUCUUUUUGCAUAACGUCAACACACUCAAAAAAUUUCAGACUUGGGAGCAUUUCAGAUUUCAGAUUUUUUUUAUUAGGACUACUCAACCUAUAUAGUACAGUGCUUAGUGGCUGCACACCGAAAGGAAUACAGAAUCUACAGGAUUAGUUCAGGAAGGUCACUAAACAAAUAAGCAGAAGCAAGAAAAACAACAACAAUAAAAAUUUUCAAAGUCUAAGCAAGAACAAAUCUUGAGGGUUGAGGACUGAUACCAGAAUGGCUACGAUAUAUAAUAUUUUCAAUUUUAAAAAAUGAAACAUGCAAAGAAAAAGGAAAGCAUGACACAUUUACAGCCAACAGAAAAUGUCCCUGAGGAGUCCCAGAUUUUGAUCUUAGAAGACAAUGUCUUAAGUUAUUGUAGAGAAGUUCAAAGAAUUAACAAGAUCAUGUGUAAAGCACUCAAGAAAUGUAAAGACAGUAAUGCCUCACAAAAUAAAAAAAUCAGUAAUCACACUUAUACUAACAUUGGAAUAAUACAGAGAAGAGUAGCAUCACCCCUGCAAAAGGAUGCAACACAAAUUCAUGAAGCAUUCCAUAUUUUUCAAAAAAUGUAUUUUUAAAAAUAAAAAUAGAAAUUAUGUAUAUAUAAGAACUAAAUAAAAAUGUUUACCUCUCACCAAAAAGAUAUCAAUAAAGUAUAUCAAAUUUAUAUUUGCUUUAAAAAUGCAGAUAUAAAUUGUGAACUUAAAAAGACAAAUAACAAAAAUAUGAGUGUCUCAACACUAGAUUUGUGCUGGCAGAAGAGUGAAUCAAGAAACUUGAAGAUAGGUCAAUAGAGAUAAUCCAAUCUUAUAAGCAGUAUGGGAAAUGAAAAAAGAAAAUGAUCAGAACCUCAGAGAAUUAUGGGACACCAUUAAGUGUACCAAAAUAAACAGAAGUCUCAGAGGAGAUGAGAGAGAC
rnacentral:lncRNA from 10 species